rfam:Burkholderia sp. STM 7183 genome assembly, contig: CYGY01000186
GGAUCGCGACCUGCGUGUCGGUGUCGUCGGCAACCGACAGACAGUUGUCGAUCGCAGCGGNNNNNNNNNNGCGAUCGUCACGCCCGGUUGAAUGUCGGGAUUGCCCGCCUUGCCGAUCGCAGCGAUGCGGCCGCCCUUGAUGCCGAUAUCGGCCUUCACGAUGCCCCAGUGAUCGAGAAUCAGCGCAUUCGUGACGACGGUAUCGACGACAUCGGCCGCGACGCGCUGCGACUGGCCCAUGCCGUCGCGAAUCA